AUUGAACGCUGGCGGCAGGCCUAACACAUGCAAGUCGAGCGGAUGAAGGGAGCUUGCUCCUGGAUUCAGCGGCGGACGGGUGAGUAACGCCUAGGAAUCUGCCUGGUAGUGGGGGAUAACGUCCGGAAACGGGCGCUAAUACCGCAUACGUCCUGAGGGAGAAAGUGGGGGAUCUUCGGACCUCACGCUAUCAGAUGAGCCUAGGUCGGAUUAGCUAGUUGGUGGGGUAAAGGCCUACCAAGGCGACGAUCCGUAACUGGUCUGAGAGGAUGAUCAGUCACACUGGAACUGAGACACGGUCCAGACUCCUACGGGAGGCAGCAGUGGGGAAUAUUGGACAAUGGGCGAAAGCCUGAUGCAGCCAUGCCGCGUGUGUGAAGAAGGUCUUCGGAUUGUAAAGCACUUUAAGUUGGGAGGAAGGGCAGUAAGUUAAUACCUUGCUGUUUUGACGUUACCAACAGAAUAAGCACCGGCUAACUUCGUG
rnacentral:rRNA from 1 species